GCUAAGCACUUACAACUGUUUGCAGAGGAAACUGAGACUUUGUAACUACAUCUCAGUCUCAACUGCAAAGAAGUAAGUGCUUAGC
rfam:Sus scrofa chromosome X.